GAGGGGCCGUCAGCUAUGAAUGUUCCAGAUGAAUGUCUUGUUCUGGGAGCAUGGCUCUUUCCGGAUUCAGGCACCCCCGUUCCUGGGGGUAGAGGCGUUCAGUUGCAGCGUCUUGUGAACAAGCCUCCAGCCUUUCUAGUUCUGUGCUACGAACUUGGCCCGGAGAAGAUGGCUUAAGGUGUAGGACACUUUAACUUCAGCCCAGCAUGAUUGAUGAUGCCUUGUAGAUGGUUUUGCAGCAGGAGCCCAGUGACCUCGCCACCUUCCCUGCGUCUGCGGCCCGCCUGCCUCUGCAUUGGUCAGAGGAAUUCUUAACAGAACUUUUGGGUGUUGGGGAAAACUGUUGGGUUUUAAAUGACUGGUGUGGAAGAGUCUUAGAUGAAGCCUGUUGUUAAAUGGGUUGGGGGGUUGUGUUUUUAAAUGUGGGAAGGCACGAGUUAGCCGCAAAUUCUGUAGUUUGUAGAUGGCAUAUCUAACUUGGGAUGGCUUUGUAUUAAGGGAACAGUGGCCUGCGGUGGUCCGUGGGUUUGGUACUGGGUGAUGGGCAAGCGCUGCUCUGCUGAAUGACAGGUCUGACUGUGCACAUGGCCUUCCGAGGUGAAAUUUGAGUUUUACUGGGUCAAGCUUGGUGGUACUUUUGGCACCAAAUGUGGGACUGGGACUUGUGGGGGAGAGCUGGGCUCAGCUUGGCAAUGGUGUAUUGUCCAGAGGAUUGAUGAUGGUGGAGUUGGUGCCAGUAAGGGAUGUGCUUGGAAAUGUGC
rnacentral:lncRNA from 1 species